GAUAGACUCAUGACAUGCAAAGCGAGAUAUGUCAACCCUUUAUUUGUUACAAUUGUGAUGUUUAUGGCGUACAGCUGAUGAAAACCCCAAAUUAACAAUCUCAGAAAAUUAGAAUAUUAAAUGAAAUCAGCAAAACAAGGACUGCAAAUAGAGCAAUAUUGGACCUCUGAGAAGUAGAAGCAUGCACAUGUACUCAGUACUUGGUUUGGGCCCCUUUUGCAUCAAUUACUGCCUCAAUGUGGCGUGGCAUGGAUGCUAUCAGCUUGUGGCACUGCUGAGGUGUUAUGGAAGACCAGGAAGCUUCAAUAGCAGCCUUCAGCUCUUCUACAUUGCUCGGUCUCAUGUCUCUCAUCUUUCUCUUGGCAAUGCCCCAUAGAUUCUCUAUGGGGUUCAGGUCAGGCAAGUUUGCUGGCCAAUCAAGCACAGUAAUCCCAUGGGCAUUGAACCAGGUUUUCAUACUUUUGACAGUGUAGGCAGGUGACAAAGUCCUAUUGGAAAAUGAAAUCAGCAUCCCCAUAAAGCUCGUCUGCGGAAGGAAGCAUGAAGUGCUCCAAAAUCUCCUGGUAGACGGCUACGUUGACCCUGGACUUAAUGAAGCACAGUGGACCAACACCAGCUGAUGAUAUGGCUCCCUAAAUCUCUUUUCUGAUGAGAGCAGCUUUUGCAUCUCACUUGGAAACGAAGGACCCAAGUCUGGACGAAGAAUGGGGAGGCACACAAUGCCAGAUGCUUGAAGUCCAAUGUGAAGUUUCCACAGUCUGUGUUGAUUUGGGGAGCCAUAAAGAUGAGAGACAUGAGACCGAGCAAUGUAGAAGAGCUGAAGGCUGCUAUUGAAGCUUCCUGGUCUUCCAUAACACCUCAGCAGUGCCACAAGCUGAUAGCAUCCAUGCCAUGCCACAUUGAGGCAGUAAUUGAUGCAAAAGGGGCCCAAACCAAGUACUGAGUGCAUGCUUCUACUUCUCAGAGGUCCAAUAUUGCUCUAUUUGCAGUCCUUGUUUUGCUGAUUUCAUUUAAUAUUCUAAUUUUCUGAGAUUGUUAAUUUGGGGUUUUCAUCAGCUGUACACCAUAAACAUCACAAUUGUAACAAAUAAAAGCUUGACAUAUCUCGCUUUGCAUGUCAUGAGUCUAUCUCAUAUAUUAGUUUCACCUUUUAAGUUGAAUUACUGAAAUAAAUGAACUUUUCCACAA